CCCUUAGAUGUUCUGGGCCGCACGCGUGCUACACUGAGUAAUUCAAUGGGUAAGGGAACGCUAGAGCAUUACCUAAUCUUGAAAUUUGCUCGUGAUGGGGAUCGACGGUUGCAAUUUUCCGUCAUGAACGAGGAAUACCUUGUAAGCGCGGGUCAUCAUCCCGCGCUGAAUACGUCCCUGCCCUUUGUACACACCGCCCGUCGCUCCUACCGAUUGAGUGGUCCGGUGAGGCUUUGGGAUCUGAGCGGAAAGAGCGUUUCGCUGUUUCUGCUCGGAAAACUCAGUCGAACCUUAUCAUUUAGAGGAAGGAGAAGUCGUAACA
rnacentral:rRNA from 1 species